CUCUUCUCCCAGGUAACAGCAAUAGGACGAGAGGGAACAGCCUCAAGUUGUGCCAGGGGAGGUUCAGGUUGGAUGUUAGGAAAAAUUACUUCUCAGAAAUAGUAGCAGUGCAUUGGAACAGGCCGACCAGGGAGGUGGUGAAGUCACUGUCCCUGGAGGUGUUCAACGAACGUGGAGAUGUGGCACUGAGGGACGUGGGCAGUGGGCAGUAUUGGUGGUAGGUGGACAGUUGGACUGGGUGAUGUUAGAGGUCUUUUCCAGCCUUGGUGAUUCUAUGAUUCUAUGAAUCAACAAGGGCUGCUUGAAGCAGCUGCCCACUUGCUCUGAACCUGAUCAAGGGAAAAGCCAUGCUCUAGAUAGCUUAUUUUUUGCCCAGAUCUCACUUUUCUUGUUUCCUCAUUCCCUUUUUCAUUCCAGUUUACCUAUGAGUGUUAGCACUUUGCCAGGUAGUCCUGGCCUCAGGAAAUCCCAGGGCUAAACCAGCUCUGCCUUGUGCAGUGCCAGACAGAAAUUCAUCCAAAAUUGGAACCCUGCUGUGUAAACCACCUGGAGUGCCAGAGCAUUUUUGUUUCCUUAAUAUGAAAAGUCCUCUCUGUACCUUCUUUUAAGAUGUCACUGGACAUCAAAACAAGCUGAAGAGGGAGAGAUCUGUGUCACCAUGUGAGGAAUCCAUUUUAAAAGAAAGCAGUAGGAUGGCUGUGAGCCAGCACAAGCAGGGUGUGCAGAGGAGCAGUCUUUGUGUUGGCACUUUUUCAUUUGUUUUUUGUUCCAACUGCUGAUUUUAUAACCUGAGUUAAACCUUGAUUUCUUUUCUAAGAUGGGCAGUGAUGCGAUCUGCCAAGAUGCUAGGUGUCAGGAGGGCUGUGACCUGUAUCUGCGACCUGUGCCUGUAGGUGUGAGCAGUGGUGUCUGUCCCCUUACAGAGCUAACUUUGCUCUCUCUCUUGGUUCCUGCAGGCUUUAUCAUCUACUUUUCCUACGGAAUAUGGCACAGUGUGGAAGCAGACGUGGAGAGAAGCACGGACACUGCCCCAGACAGCUGCAAAUGACCACGUGUGUAGCUCAUGGGCAACUGGGGACCGCUGCAGCGAAGGCAGCUGUGCCAUGGGGCUCCUGAAGUGUUGCAUCUGGUUAAUCAGUACUGCAGGAAGAAAGAAGCACAGUGUGGGAAUUCCCAGGCCUGUUGCUGCAGCUUGCAGUUUGCUUAGUAGUGCAGUUAAAAGGGAUCACAAGGAAAAAAAUCUGCCCCGCUGGCUGCUCCCAGCAAUGCUAUCAGCUGGUCUGGGGCCAUGCACUCUCCCUCCUCCCUCCUGUUUUCUUGUUGUUUUUUUGUUUGUUUGUUUGUCAGUGUGUAAAAAGAAAACUGCUUCAGUGUGCCAGUUAACCUGAAAUGCUGCUAUGAAACCAGGCCUCACAGAGGUCCUCCUUUCGGUAGCCCUGGGAAUGAGCUCCCCACAGAUACUCUACCUGAUAUACACAGAGCAGAUCUGCAGUGCUGUUGUCACGCUUAGACCAGGCCCUUCCUUCACCUGAUGUGAGCUGUACCACCUAUGAAUGUACAAAGAAAAGGCUCUCGGCAAACAUGAGCUUUCACCUUGUUAAGAAAGCACCUGCAAGGUUUAUGUUCUUCAGAGCAUCGGGUUUCAUAGUUUUUAUUGCAUUUAACUUUUAACUCGGUAUUCGUAUACUUUAAAACACACCGCUGCUGUGAAAUGUUGGGAGGUUUAUGGUCGCUGCUUGUUGGUUGAAUGGUCAUUUGGCAGUGUGCAGAUAAUACAAAUGGAUGCUUCUGCUAACUUUAGGCUCAGAGGAGGGAUUUGGGGUUUAGUCAUAGAAAUGUCUGGUGCAAGUACUUGAAUGUCUUUAAUAGCACUGGUGUCUCCAAAGAGCCUUCUACCUCUUCACGUCAGAGCUGACCAGCAGUGGGGCUGAAGCAGUGGGGUGGCAGAAGUGCUCUUGAGCCCAGCUCUGAAAAUGAGGUCGGUCGGAAGUCAGAGGAGCUGCCCCAGUGUGGGCUAUGUGAAAUGAGCAAAGCGUUUGGCUGUGAGAGGUGGGUGUGGUAUCAGAGUGAAGCAUGUUUGUGUCCCUGGCAGGAGAAACACGGGAAGAGUCUCGAAAGCUUGAACUUCGUUUGUGAGCAGCACUUGCGUUUCUGCCUCGUCUGGUCGGGCAUGAGGAUGUUGUGGGGUCACAUCCUUCCCAGUGGUCCCAUCAGAGCAGGGGGUAGCACAGCUGCUCACUAGGGGUUGGCUUGCUGAGAGUUUACCUUGUGACACUCUGGAAGCAGGCUGCUGAGCUGCUUAACAUGAGCCUGAGCAGGGUUGUAAAAGUGCUGAGCCCCUGCUCUGCACGCUGCCCACCCAGCCAGUGCAGCAGCGUGUGUUCUCGCUCAAGCACGUGCUGCUGUGGGGCCGGGGAUACUUGUGCUGCCUGCACUGCAUCUCCCAGGCCAUAGGAAUUCUCCAUCUUUGAAGGUGUUGGGAGUCAGGUUGGAUGGGGCUUUGAGCAACCGGGUCUUGUGCAAGAUGUCUCUACCCACCCCAAACCAUUCUGUGAUUCUCUGAAGGUCAGAGGUGAGGCCAGGGUCUGUGUUGAGUCGGCAACAUAGAUGUGGCCUUGACUUUGCCGUAAGGCAAUUUUAAAAAAUACUCUCAUAUAUCUCCCCAGCCAAAUUCACUGCCCUAAAAAAGGGCUUGUGGAAGCAUCAGAAAGGUGGGUCGUGCCCAUGCAGUGCUUUUAUUUAAAUGUACUGAAAAGCAGAUCCCGAGCGGAUACUGCAGAAAUCCACUCUCCUAAGCUGUGUUGCUGCUGCCUCAGGUGUCCUCCACGCUGCUGCCUCCAACACCUGAGGCUGUUGAUCUGUUGGCCAUCACAGCUCCUGCUGCUGAGGGGAAGGGCACCUGUCCCCAUCGUACUGGUGGGGACCAAGGAACAAGCUCCAGCUUAGCCAGUGACUCAGAGGAAACCUGGUGCAGCAGAAAGGGGAACCAGACCAUCUCCCUCGGUCAUACUGUAGUGGGUCAUGUCUUUCAGGUUUCCAGCACAGCUUUUCUGCCUGCUAAGUGUUUCAGUCUUGGCCUUCUGUCAUACUGGGAGGCUUUUCCCAGGGCUGGAGCUGGAUGGAGGGAACAUGCUCCAUAUAUUGGUGUCUGGCUGUAUUUUCAGGGUGCUUUCAUGCUGGCAGGUAGCCUUGACUAUCUGCCAGUCCUUCUCUCCUUGCACACAUAUGAAGUCUUACUCAAGCAGGGAGAGAGGGGGUAUCAGAAUUAAAACCCGAGAGGUUGAGAUCUAUUUUGUUUUAAACACAGGGAAAAAACUCAACGUGUGCCACAACCUCCUGGAAAGCACUGAGGAUGCAGUAGGAGGGGGAAAAGAUGGAAAAUGGAAACUCAGAGGGUGUGGGAGUUUCCCAUUGUACCAAAAAUGUAAGGAAUUUUUUCUCUGCGUUGGGUACCAACUCUGAGCAAUUUUAGACAUUCAGCAUUGACUAUAUGAGGCUGAAUUCUGAUGGAAGUAUGUUUCCAAAGAAAAUUAUCUAAAAAUAUGCAGACUUCUUGCUGUAUGUUUUUUUUUUUUUUAUUUUAUAAAUGUUAACUUAUUUUUGUUGUCUUCUUAGGGAUCUGUUCUGGUAUUUAUAUUCCAUAACUUUAUUUCAGCUUUUGUGGCGUAUAGUGUCAGCACUUAAGAGAAAGGGAAAGUCUGGAUCGGGCUCAUUUUCCUGCCGUUUCCUUUUCUCCGAGAAGGUUUCAUAGGAAAAUCCUUCUGUUUUGCCACGCUUUGUGUUCCAGUGUUCCAAUGUGCCAUGGCCUGUGCCAGCCCUGGGGGAAGCCCCCAUGCAGGCUGUGCGUGGGGAUGCAACGACUUGGUCACUGCUGCCUGCUCCUGCCCUGCCCUCACUGCUGCAUCCCUGCCUCGCUUGGAUUUGCAAACUGAAAGAUCACUCCAGGUAGCUUUGGGGACGUGCAACUGCUGCUAUCACCUUGCUAUUGUGAACAAGAUGCCUCUCCUCCACCAAGCUUGUCUUCGUAAAUACUUCAGCAAUUAUUUUGUUUUAUUGAUAUAAGAAUAUUUUGUACAGAUGCAUUUUGCUGGAAGGAGGGGUGGGAAUAGAGAAUUGCUGCCUUUGCUCGGAGCCGGAGCAGACCCUUUUGUGUCAGUGUGAUGACUCUGCCCAAAGGGCAGCCUUGGCUUGGCCAACCUGGAGAGGAGCUCGCUGGAGAGGAGCCACCAGCACGUGGCCAGGCCGCCUUUCUCAGAGGCAAACUGCUGUUAGAGCAGCGCCUUUCUCACCACAAAGGCAAUUGGGUGUAAAAAUCACAGAAUCGUGACUAGCUUUUGCGUAUUUCCUUACAAACGUCAUUGUUUGGUUGCUGAAAAUCAUUGCUGGGUGGGUUCUGGCUUCGUUUCCUAUUUUGCUCAUCCCUUGGGGUGCAGUUCACCAUCCUCUUGCGUGGCUGCAUGGGGGUCAGCCAGCCCUGGCUGCGGGACAGAGAGCAGAGCUCUGAGCCUCAGGGCUGCGUAGGGGCAAGUUUUGCAAGGGGACACUGUGAACAUGGGCGCCUAACCAUUGUUCCCCCCAGGCAAAACCAAACCCCUGCGGCAGUGGGCAGUGCUAUGGGCUCCCUCCAUUCCUGUUGACUCAGAGACAAAGCAGUGUUAGGGGGCAUUACAUUUUGUAAGACUGGCUCUUUAGUGGUGCUGUUUUAAUCAGUUCCACCGGGAUCUCUCAAAUUCCUCCUAGCAGAAGAAUGUCCACCCCCAGAAAACCACCCACAAAUGAGUUUUGUCAUCACCUGCCCAAGUGAUGGCAGCGGCGCUGGGUCCCAUAGCAGAAGGCCGCCCCGCACGCCUGCAUCUCUGCCUCGUCCCUGCUCAUGGGACCGUUUCCUCUGUGUGUCUCAGCCCCCACCCCGGCAAGGUGCGGAGGGCAGCACCUCCUGGGAUGUUCUCAGGGAAUUUGCCCCCGGGCUGAGCCAUGCCCUCAGCUGCCGGCACGCGGAGCGAUGGCAAGCACGGCCGUCGGCAGCAAAGCGACCUUAUGGACUGAAGCCAUGGAAGAGUCUGUAUAGUUUUUAUUUUUUAAUUAUUAAGCAGAAUGUAUAUACCUUUCUGUUGAUGGUCUAUUUUCCUAAUGGUUUCUCAGAAUUUCCUACAGGCGCGUUAAAUCGUUUUGAUGCUUGUUCUGCGAGAUCUAUUUUUUAUCUUUUUUAUCCUGGUUUCGGUUUGCGGUUUGAUUUCUUUUUCCCAUGUCCGUGCGGCGCUUAAAGCCUUACGUUUUGAAAUGUGAACCUUGCCCCCGUGUGUGCGCACAGCUCGUUUUUAUCCUGGUGCCACUGUAAAUACCUCUCCACCAAAUGAAGCUUUUGGCAGUUCACUUCUCAUUAAGUGGUACAGCAUUAAAGCAUUUUUCUCAGUACUCGAAUAAACGCUGCCUGUUGUUUGCUCUCA